GUCGCUGCAGCUGCACCAGUAGCCAUUCCGCCGUCAGCAGAAACACCUGAUUGUUCUCUUCGCUCAACUCGUACUUGUCGUGCUCGACGUCAAGAAGGACAAGAAGCGCAAGCAUGGCUGCCCUCCCGAGUGCCCCAAACAGCGUUUCAGGGACCAGUAGCGCCAUGGACGACAUCGACGGUAUAACGGCUGAUAAAGAGAGAAGCGUCUUUUGAAGAAAAUAAGUAUUUUCUUCGGUCGUAAAAUAUCAGACCCUGAAUCUAUGAUCAGAGCAUUUGCAGUGCAUGGUGAUAGUCAUUCCAUUUGCUUUGGAACCCUAUUCACUCUAAAGCAGAUGAAAAAGGAGUUGCAAAAACGGGCAUAGAGAUAGAUGCAACAAGCAGACACGAUGAACAAGCCCAUCCCACCAAUCCGUGGGAAGCAAGGUCUUCAUCAUAAAUAAUUGUUGAAGGACAGUUCUUAUUCCUAUUAUGAAUUUCUAAGGACUUUGGGCUGGAAUUGGGUAAACUGGAAUAUUUGAGGGGAAAAUGGAAUGUCUUCGACGCCUCAAAAGUGAAUAUACAGAGGAAGAGAGAAAUGUAGGCCUCUAUCUCAAUAAAGUCUUCAGUUGUUUUAUUUUCACAUUUUUUAUUUCUAAGACUAUAUAACUGACAAAUCAGAUGUCCAGUCUUUCUAUCAAAUAAAUCUGAAAUAAGGAUCGACCAUCUGAUGAUCUAAUAAUAAACAAACGUCUUUAUUCGUAGUAUGCAAGAAGAAUUUCUUAAGGAUAAAAUGUGAUCAAUUAUUCCCUCUAUAAAUUUUACUGGCGCAACUAAUAACUGAGUAUUAGUUUGUAUUGCUACUCACCAACAUGUAAGGUAAUUAACAACAUUCAGCGGUUCGUUAUUCAAAGUCCUUUAUAGUAUCAUGAGCAACAAUGUCCAUAUGUGAUUAUUUCUUAAAAAUAUAAAAAUAAAUUAAUGAAUAAUGAAACAAUAACAUUGUGUAACUGAUAUCAUCUAUGUUAAAGAGACGACAGUACUGCAUGUGUUGCAAUAAAUUCUGAUCGUUAUAUUCAGUCAUCAUAGUGUUACCUUCUUACAGUUUUUUACAGUGCCGACGGACUUACAAUUUAUAUUUUUGAAUAAAUGAUUUUGAAAAGA